AGUAGUACUAGGAUGGGU
rnacentral:snRNA from 1 species